rnacentral:rRNA from 1 species
AGCAGUCGCCACGGUAAUACAGAGGAUGCAAGCGUUAUCCGGAAUGAUUGGGCGUAAAGCGUCCGUAGGUGGCUUUUCAAGUCCGCCGUCAAAUCCCAGGGCUCAACCCUGGACAGGCGGUGGAAACUACCAAGCUGGAGUACGGUAGGGGCAGAGGGAAUUUCCAGUGGAGCGGUGAAAUGCGUUGAGAUCGAAAAGAACACCAACAGCGAAAGCACUCUGCUGGGACGACACUGACACUAAGAGACGAAAGCUAGGGGAGCAAAUGGGAUUAGAGACCCCUGUAGUCCCUGUCUCUUAUAC